CUCAGAUAAAAUAUUUAGGAGAAAGGAUUACCGGCAUGACAAUAAGGCUCAUUAUUUUCAGAAGCUUGUAACUAUGCAGGAGAAUUUAUAUGUACUUCUGUGUGAUGAAGAAUUGGAUGCAGUCUCUUUGGAAGCUGUGCACCAACAAAAGAUGAAGAAUAGACAAGCCCACUCUUCAUCAGAGGGCCCAAACUGUGACAAAGAAUGUCAUAAGUGCAGCGAAGUGAUUUGCAUUUUAUGCAGUGAAACCAGGUGUGCGAAACAACUAGUACAUCAGAAAAUUCAGCAAUCCAGAAUUCCGGUUUUUCAGAAAAGGGCAAGAGCAGG
rnacentral:lncRNA from 1 species